UACAGAGGGGGCAAGCGUUAUUCGGAAUUAUUGGGCGUAAAGGGCGCGUAGGCGGCUUUGCAAGUGACGGGUGAAAUCCCUCGGCUUAACCGAGGAACUGCCUGUCAAACUGCAUGGCUUGAGACCGGGAGAGGUGAGUGGAAUUCCCAGUGUAGCGGUGAAAUGCGUAGAUAUUGGGAGGAACACCAGUGGCGAAGGCGGCUCUCUGGGCCUUACCUGACGCUGAGGAGCGAAAGCGUGGGGAGCAAACAGG
rnacentral:rRNA from 1 species